rnacentral:rRNA from 1 species
GAUAAACGCUAGCGGCAGGCUUAACACAUGCAAGUCGAGGGGCAGCAUAGAUUGUAGCAAUACAAUUGGUGGCGACCGGCGCACGGGUGCGCAACGCGUAUGCAACCUACCCGUCACAGGGGGAUAAUCCGGAGAAAUCUGGUCUAAUACCCCAUAACAUAUGGAUCGGCAUCGGUUCAUGUUGAAAUUUUCGGAGGUGACGGAUGGGCAUGCGUAGCAUUAGCUUGUUGGUGAGGUAACGGCUCACCAAGGCGACGAUGCUUAGGGGGACUGAGAGGUUUACCCCCCACACGGGUACUGGGACACGGACCAGACUCCUACGGGAGGCAGCAGUGAGGAAUAUUGGUAAAUGGGCGCAAGCCUGAACCAGCCAUGCCGCGUGCAGGAUGACGGCUCUAUGAGUUGUAAACUGCUUUUGUACGAGGGUAAAGUGGGUUACGUGUAACCUUUUGAAAGUAUCGUACGAAUAAGGAUCGGCUAGCUCCGUGCCAGCCGCCGCCGUAA